rnacentral:rRNA from 1 species
GACGUAGGGCGCGAGCGUUGUCCGGAUUUAUUGGGCGUAAAGAGCUCGUAGGCGGCUUGUCGCGUCGUUCGUGAAAACCUGCAGCUCAACUGCAGGCUUGCGGGCGAUACGGGCAGGCUAGAGUUCGGUAGGGGAGACUGGAAUUCCUGGUGUAGCGGUGAGAUGCGUAGAUAUCGGAAGGAACACCAGUGGCGAAAGCGGCUUCCUGGUCCAGCACCGACGUUCAGGCACGAAAGCGUGGGGAGCAAACAGG